rnacentral:rRNA from 1 species
UCGAACGGUACAGGUCUUCGGACGCUGACGAGUGGCGAACGGGUGAGUAAUACAUCGGAACGUGCCCAGUCGUGGGGGAUAACUACUCGAAAGAGUAGCUAAUACCGCAUACGAUCUGAGGAUGAAAGCGGGGGACCUUCGGGCCUCGCGCGAUUGGAGCGGCCGAUGGCAGAUUAGGUAGUUGGUGGGAUAAAAGCUUACCAAGCCGACGAUCUGUAGCUGGUCUGAGAGGACGACCAGCCACACUGGGACUGAGACACGGCCCAGACUCCUACGGGAGGCAGCAGUGGGGAAUUUUGGACAAUGGGCGAAAGCCUGAUCCAGCAAUGCCGCGUGCAGGAUGAAGGCCUUCGGGUUGUAAACUGCUUUUGUACGGAACGAAAAAGCUUCUCCUAAUACGAGAGGCCCAUGACGGUACCGUAAGAAUAAGCACCGGCUAACUGCGUGCCAGCAGCCGCGGUAAUACGUAGGGUGCGAGCGUUAAUCGGAAUUACUGGGCGUAAAGCGUGCGCAGGCGGUUAUGUAAGACAGAUGUGAAAUCCCCGGGCUCAACCUGGGAACUGCAUUUGUGACUGCAUGGCUAGAGUACGGUAGAGGGGGAUGGAAUUCCGCGUGUAGCAGUGAAAUGCGUAGAUAUGCGGAGGAACACCGAUGGCGAAGGCAAUCCCCUGGACCUGUACUGACGCUCAUGCACGAAAGCGUGGGGAGCAAAC